UCAAACUUGGUCAUUUAGAGGAAGUAAAAGUCGUAACAAGGUUUCCGUAGGUGAACCUGCGGAAGGAUCAUUAAUGAAUAAAACUCAGUUGGAUUUGUUGCUGGCUUUUCUUAAGAGCAAGUGCACAAUCUGUUCUGAUGUUUGUUUAUUUCACAUCACACCCUCUGUGAACUUCUGUAGAUCCUGAAUCAUUCUCAAGUUGAAAUUCUUGAGGAUUGCUGUGUGUGCAUUCUUGAUGCAUGGAUGGCUUUUCUUGUUCAGGUUCUAUGUUUUUUAUUACAUACCCAGUUUGAAUUGGAUGUCUUGAGAACAUGUAUGAUUGACAAAAUAAUACAACUUUCAACAACGGAUCUCUUGGCUCUCGCAUCGAUGAAGAACGCAGC
rnacentral:misc_RNA from 1 species